rnacentral:tRNA from 1 species
GGAAGCGUGCCGCAAUGGUAGCGGAGCAGCUUGCUAAGCUGUCUGUCCGAAAGGGCAUGUGAGUUCGAUCCUCACCGCUUCCU